UACGUAGGGCGCAAGCGUUGUCCGGAAUUAUUGGGGCGUAAAGAGCUCGUAGGUGGCUUGUCGCGUCUGCCCGUGAAAAGCCCAUGGCUUAACUGUGGGUCUGCGGUGGAUACGGGCAGGCUGGAGGCUGGUAGGGGCAAGCGGAAUUCCUGGUGUAGCGGUGAAAUGCGCAGAUAUCAGGAAGAACACCCGUGGCGAAGGCGGCUCUCGUGGUACGUGAC
rnacentral:rRNA from 1 species